UACGGAGGGUGCGAGCGUUGUUCGGAAUCAUUGGGCGUAAAGGGCGCGUAGGUGGCCUGAUAAGGGUGUGGUGAAAGUCCGGGGCUCAACCCCGGAUCUGCCGUGCCGACUGUCAGGCUAGAGUACUGUAGGGGCAGGCGGAAUUCCGGGUGUAGCGGUGGAAUGCGUAGAGAUCCGGAGGAAGACCGGUGGCGAAGGCGGCCUGCUGGGCAGUUACUGACACUGAGGCGCGACAGCGUGGGGAGCAAACAGG
rnacentral:rRNA from 1 species